CUGGCAUGAUAAUUACAUCCACCAUGAUACUGAUGGUUAAAUGUUACUACCCUGACCUCUGCUAUUCUGGAAUUCCAUCAUCACAAUUGACACUAUAGAACCCAGUUCCAUACAGAACGGAGCCUUAGGCAUCCAGCCGUUGGGGUGUGCCACUCAGAUCUCCUUUAAAGGAAGAAAUUGCCAUGAGGAAUGUAGUUAUCUGACAGCCUCCAGCUGCCUCAACUUUGAGGUCUUUCGCAGCAUUCACUCAAAGGCCACAUAGUCCUGGUCAAAGACUAAACAUGGCAAAGUUUCUAGAGCUGGUCCAUUCUUGCUCAUCAUAGGAUUCCUCUAAUGGGAAAUCUUUCCCCAAGGGUUCCGCAUUAGCCUAACCAAGACUUUCUCUGAGACUCUUAGUUAUUAUGAUGCUACUUCCACCAGCACCAGGGUUCUUGUUGCUAUCUGGCUGUUGAGUGAUUCAGUCCCACUGAGCAAUGUCAACCUGAUUGUCUUUCUUUGUUUUUAAGAAACAGGGUCUUGCUCUGCUGCCCAGGCUGGAGCACAGUAGUGUGAUCAUAGCUCACUACAGCCUUCAACUCCUGGGCCUUAGCAAUCCUCCUGCCUCAGCCUCCCAAGGAGCUAUGGCUGCAGGUAUCCGCCACCACUCAUUGACAGCCACUUCCAGUACUCACUGUCUUGGACACAGACUUGAGUAAAAGUACAGGGGCAAGAGGCCUGGAUGAAGAAAUACCCUCAGAAACUCCCACUCUUCUGGUUCCUGCUGAAGACUCCAGUAAUAAAAGUUAUUCAUACCUACCUCCACCAUCUUGGCUGGGAAGUCAAGGAAGAAGAUAGCAGCCCGCAACCCGGAAGAGGGCCCUCACCAGAACCUACCAUGCUGGCACCCAGACCUCAGACUUCCAGCCUCCAGAAAUGAGCUCCCUCUGCUGCAGGAACUCAACGAUAGGGAGGAAGAGUCCAGAAAAGUAGGGCUGUCAGCACCUCUGUGAGCAGCCGACGAUCCACAGCGGAUGGAGUUUGGUGGUAAAGGUACUCACUUCCUGUCUCUCUGGUGAUGAUUUUGAGCAUGUUCUACAAAGUCUUUCAGAUGGUCCCAGUAGGUUGGAGCCCAGCUGCCCUCAGUGGUAACCUGCCCAUUAACGUAUCCUGUGUUGGUUUCCUUUCCUCCCCUACCUCACCUCCCCACUCCCCUUUCUAUGAUUCCUAGAGUCACCUCCCAAAUAAACUUUCACAUUU
rnacentral:lncRNA from 1 species